UACGGAGGGGGCUAGCGUUGUUCGGAAUUACUGGGCGUAAAGCGCACGUAGGCGGCUUUGUAAGUUAGAGGUGAAAGCCCAGGGCUCAACCCUGGAAUUGCCUUUAAGACUGCAUCGCUAGAAUUGUGGAGAGGUAAGUGGAAUUCCGAGUGUAGAGGUGAAAUUCGUAGAUAUUCGGAAGAACACCAGUGGCGAAGGCGACUCACUGGACACAUAUUGACGCUGAGGUGCGAAAGCGUGGGGAGCAAACAGG
rnacentral:rRNA from 1 species